AUGGAGGAGGGAAGGCCCAGUGGCUCCAGUGUGAGGGGAAGAGACCUGACUGCACCUGGGCUGUGUCUUCUCCGUCCACAGUACACCCGUGGGAAGAGGAGUCGGGGCAUCCCUUGCUGGAAAUACCCCAGCCCUGAAGGUUGCUGGCAAAACCACCAUUUAAUUCAGAACAAAAAGUCUGCUCCAGGAGCCUCUGAGAGUGUCAAAAAGAACAAGGUUUCCCCCACUGGACUUUACCUCCAGAUGCCCAGGACAUGGGACAUCAUGCAAAGACCUAGCACGUGGUGAGCAUUUAGAAAAUAUUUACAGAAUUAUUCACAGUAUUUGUUGAGCACCUACUGCUUAUUCAUAUCAGUUAUGAUCUGCUGCGCACUGCUGAGCACUGGCAGAAAGAGAAGACCCUGAGCAUCUUAAAUUCACGGCAGUUGCCAGCUGGAGCUCCCAUCUGAAUUUCCUGGAGGAAGGCAGACCCCAUCGCGACUUUCUUUCUUUCUUUUUUUUCUCCUUGAGGCUGAGUCUCGCUCUGUCGCCCAGGCUGGAGUGCAGUGGUGCGAUCUCAGCUCACUGCAACUGCCACCUCCCAGGUUCAAGCAAUUCUCCUGCCUCAGCCUCCAGAGUAGCUGGGACUACAGGCGUGUGCCACCACGCCUGGCUAAUUUUUGUAUUUUUAGUAGAGACGGGGUUUCGCUAUGUUGGCCAGGCUGGUCUCGAACUCCUGACCUCAGGUGAUUCACCAGCCCCAGCCUCCCAAAGUGGUGGGAUUACAGCCAUAAGCCACUGCGCCUGGCCUCUUCAUUUUUUUGAGACCAAGUCUGUCUGUUGCCCAGGCUGGAGUGCAGUGGCACGAUCUUGGCUCACUGCAGCCUCCGCCUUCUGAGUUCAAGCGAUUCUCCUGCAUUGGCCUCCUGAGUAGCUGGGACUACAGAUGCCUGUCACCACGCCCAGCUAAUUUUUGUAUUUUUUAGUAGAAACGAGGUUUUUGCCAUGUUGGCCAGGCUGGUCUUGAACUCCUGACCUCAAGUGAUCCACCUGCCUCGGCCUCCUAAAGUGCUGAGAUUACAGGCAUGAGCCACUGUGCCCAUCCCCCACCGGGACUUUCUAAUUCAGGAGUUCUAGAGUGGGACCCUGUAAUUUGCAUAUUUUUUUUAAAUUAUUUUUUGUUCUUUUCUUCCCCGCCCACCCCACCCCCCGCCCCCCACUCACCCAGCUUUUCCUGACUGGAGAAGAACAGGGGACAGAAGGCCUGAUUUGCAUUUCUACUAUUUCCCAGGAGAUGUUGACGUUGCAACAAAGAGAACCACUCAAAGAGAAUCGCUCUGUGAGAACCAAUGUUCUAGAGUUUAGGAAGACCAUCAAUUGGGGUAAAUGAGCCAAUUCCCAGAAGGAAAGGGGAAGGACCUUUUCUGAGGCAUGAUCUGAAUUUCCUGGGCUGAUGUUGCCCUUUGUUAUUUCCACAGGGGAUCUUCGUUUUCAAUCGCUCACCUGGGGAGCCGCCAGAUUCUGGCCAAUCUCGGCUUUUUUCCCUCUCACUGUGGGUUCUUCAGAGCCCCAUGGUUUAGACAUAACAGUGGAUUCUCUUGUGCCCCAAUUACCACAUGCGUCAUGGGGAGAAGAGCUUGAACCCCCCAGAGGGUCAGGUCCAGGUGAGAAUUGAGGGUGACACUGAGAGAAUUUAGCUAGGUGGGCGCUGUGUACCGCAUCAUUGCCUGCUCCUUUCGCGGUUUUGCAUUUAUGUGUUGUACAGCUACGUGUCUCAACCUAGAAGGAUCUCCAGGAUGUAUCCUUGGGUGGAAAAAUUUAGAUACUAGAAUCUAGGCCGGGCGCGGUGGCUCACGCCUGUAAUCCCAGCACUUUGGGAGGCUGAGGUGAGUGGAUCAUGAGGUCAGGAGAUCGAGACCAUCCUGGCUAACACGGUGAAACCCCAUCUGUACUAAAAAUACAAAAAUUAGCUGGGCACAGUGGCAUGCACUCGUAGUCCUAGCUACUCGGGAGGCUGAGCCAGGAGAAUCGCUUGUACCCGGGAGGCGGAGGUUGCAGUGAGCCGAGACUGCGCCAUUGCACUCCAGCCUGGGCGACAGAGUGAGACUCCNNNNNNNNNNNNNNNNNNNNGAGAAUCGCUUGAACCCAGGAGGUGGAGGUUGCAGUAAGCCAGGAUUGCACCACUGCUCUCCAGCCUGGAUGACAGAGCAAGACUGUCUCAAAUAAAUAAAUAAAUAAAUAAAUAUAAAAAUUAAAAAAAUUUUAAAAAAGAAAUCUAUAUUGAGUUUUGUACCUACCUAUGAUUCAUGGAUACCUACCAGGGAAAAAGCAGAAUAAAAACAUGCACAGAAGGAAAUAUUCCAAAUUGUGCUUGCCUGGGUGGUAACUUGCUAUAAUGUUUUACUUCUGUAAUGGGAGGGAGUACACAUGUGGCUAUUCUAUUCUUCCUCCCAUGUUUUCAUAUCUGAAAUAUUUCAUA
rnacentral:lncRNA from 1 species